AGUCCCGGUUCCCCGCCAUCAGCACAACCUGUGUGAGAGCACAGGGUAUCUGGGCAGAAGGAAAACUAGCGGAGCCUCAUCCAGCGCUGGAAAUGCAGAAGCUCUGGGCUUCUCGACGGCGAGGCACCCGGGGAACGGGGAGUCACUUAGAACCUCAGAGUAGCCUCGGGCGGGAACAAGCAAAGCAAUUCCAAGCUCUACCAGGGCACGGAGGGCGCGAAACCCGCCCCGCGCUCCGGCCGGCCUGCAGGGGGCGCGCGCUCCCCGAGCUCCCGCGCACCGCGGAGAAGGCGGCCCUGGCGCCGGGAAGCAGCGGGAAAACCGCAAGGAAGCCGGCGCUGCUCUGGAGGGAGAGUCUGUGCGGUGGCACCUGCGCGAAGCCGGCCAAAGCCUGCCCAGACUGCUCACCUGUGCGGGAUGGAACGAAAG
rnacentral:antisense_RNA from 1 species